AACAUGACUCUCUGCAACGGAUAUCUUGGCUCUCACCACAAAGAAAAAUGUAGCGAAAUGCGAUACUUAGUGUGAAUUGCAGAAUCCCGUGAAUCAUCGAGUCUUUGAACGCAAGUUGCGCCCGAGGCUCCGGCCGAGGGCACGUCUGCUUGGGCAUCGCAC
rnacentral:rRNA from 1 species